GGCCACCGUCGGGAACGGGGAUUCGAUCCCCAGAACGACCUCAUAAUAGCCGAGGGUUACGAUGCCGAGGACGUACAUCAGCUGGCCGAACGCGAACAGGUACCAGGGCAGCGGCCGAGUCGGGCGGUGCAUGAUGAUGCCGCUCACGAACGCUGCUAGCGAGGACAUGA
rnacentral:misc_RNA from 1 species